CAAGGGAGGGGCGCGAACUGCCAAACUGAGCAUGCGUGUCCUGCCGACUUCCUGUUCAGGCUCCCUGGGAUCCCACCGGAGUCUGGGACGUGCAGGGAUUGGUCGGCCACAGGCAGGGAUUUCUUGGGGAUGCCCCCUGGACUGACAGGGUCCAUCCCACUCCAGAACAGAGUUGCCGAAUCCCCUGAAGCCAGAUCUCACAGGAUCUCUGAGCCACAUCUUGCAAGAACUCGGAAACCAUUCCUAGCCGCCAGAGCUACACGAGGUGGGGUAAUAGAAGCAUAGAAAGUUAAGCGACUUAUUCAAGGCCACAUCUUGUGCAGAAGAGCACAGACGAGGAAUAUGGAACAAAACAAGGUUCUUAAAUGCUUUUCUAAGAUGAUUUGGUUUUAUUAAAUAACGGCAAGUUAUGGAAGAGAGCAAUUCCAGUGAAAAAAUUAAGGAGGCACUGAAAAGGAAUGGAGAAGAACAAAUGAGGAGGCUCCAGCUGGAGACACUGCAAUAGUAAGGGAAACCAGCGAUGAAUAGCUAAACUAGGGGCAAAUUCGUGAAUCCUUAUACUGACAGAAUUGAUGGGGCUUCCCCAUUUGGGGGCCAGUGAGGAACAGAACAUGAAUUUCAAUCAUACUCUUUAAGAAGGUGUAAGGUGGCUUUUGGAAAAAAAUGUUCCCACAAAAUUUGCUUUAAAUUUGGAAACUUUUUAUGUAUAAAUGGUUAAGUUUUGGUUACCUAUAUUUCAGACUGUUUAAUUCCUGGCCAAUACUUGAGAACUGAUCCUGAUGUUAGUUUCUUCACAAUUUGCUCUCCAGCAGCUGUUAUGUGAGCCCCACCUUUUCUUUUCAUUUUCUGUUUUAUCCAGCUCUCUUACUUUGCCCAGUCCCUGCCUGUAAUUUAUCACUCUUUUAUCUGCUCCUAAACACCUACUCUUUUACUUUCUAAAAAUAUUUGAAGUAUUUAUUGUUUUGUCAAUUCUUUUAUCAUCACUUUAUAUCUUUCAGAUUCUUUCCUUCUUGUUUAUAAAUUAAUCUCUUUUUAUUCAAAUUUUCCCUUCAUAUAAUGCUUCUAAAUAUAUGAUUGUCCAUCUUCUUGUUCAUAUACAAAUACCUAAAUAAUCAAGUUGAUUUUGCAGAUUUCUGGUAUUAAGGAUGCUAUUUAUAUUAAUGUCAAUAACCCACAUUUAAAAGACUUACAAUAAUUCUGUUAAUUUAAAAUGAUUUCUAAAUCAAAAUAAAGAUGCAAAGGGGACUGAAAAGAAUAUUUUG
rnacentral:lncRNA from 1 species